UACAGAGGUCUCAAGCGUUGUUCGGAUUCAUUGGGCGUAAAGGGUGUGUAGGUGGCGCCGUAAGUCGAGUGUGAAAGCCCCGGGCUUAACUUGGGAAUUGCGCUCGAAACUACGUGGCUGGAGUGUGGCAGAGGAAGGUGGAAUUCCACGUGUAGCGGUGAAAUGCGUAGAGAUGUGGAGGAACACCAAUGGCGAAGGCAGCCUCUGGGCCGAACACUGACGCUCAUGCACGAAAGCGUGGGGAGCAAACAGG
rnacentral:rRNA from 1 species